rnacentral:rRNA from 1 species
GACGAACGCUGGCGGCGUGCUUAACACAUGCAAGUCGAACGGAAAGGCCAUGCUUUUGUGGGGUGCUCGAGUGGCGAACGGGUGAGUAACACGUGAGUAACCUGCCCUUGACUUUGGGAUAACUUCAGGAAACUGGGGCUAAUACCGGAUAGGAGAUCCUGCUGCAUGGUGGGGGUUGGAAAGUUUCGGCGGUUGGGGAUGGACUCGAGGCUUAUCAGCUUGUUGGUGGGGUAGUGGCUUACCAAGGCUUUGACGGGUAGCCGGCCUGAGAGGGUGGCCGGCCACAAUGGGACUGAGGUACGGCCCAGACUCCUACGGGAGGCAGUAGUGGGGAAUUUUGCACAGUGGGCGGAAGCCUGAUGCAGCAACGCCGCGUGCGGGAUGACGGCCUAUGAGUUGUAAACCGCUUUCGCCGUUGACGUAGCGUGAGUGACGGUAAUGGGUAAAGAAGCACCGGCUAACUACGUG